UGUUGCUCAAGUCUGAUGUAUUCUUGUUGAUGUUCUGUCCACUUAGUCUAUCAAUUACUGAAAAAAAGUCUUUGAAGUCUCCAACUCUAACAAUGGAUUUCUCUAUUUCUCCUUGCCAUUCUAACAGUUUUUGCUUCUCGUAUUUUCAGGUUCUGUUAUUGAAGUGGGAGAGCUGGGUUCUCAUCUAAUGGAGUCAAAGAAUGAAUCUGGAGGACAAUGGAGACACAUCUCAUUUUGGACCAACAUCAGUCGGCUGUGGCCACUGUACUGGACAGCACACAGCUGGAGACUGAUCAUGGGGAGUGUGGCUGAGAAGGCAUGGAGGACAAGACCUUUGGAGCAUUUGCCCAUUUCCAUGGUAUAAAUACUCCUAUGAUGGUUCAUUUUAAUCUACCGAUGGAUUAACAAACAGCUUGUAGAAUGCCUGGAAAUGGAACAAUCAGCUGUUGCAACAGCACAUGCUGUUCCCAAGGUGGAGCAAUGGGUACAGGGCAUCAUGGGAGAGACUCCAGUGGUCCCCAGAGAAGAUAAGGUGGCAAAUGGGAGCAGGGGGUGGAGGUGAGGGAGGGAGGCAUGCAGGUCUUACAGGAAUGAGGAGUCUAGCUCCCUUUUAACUCUGUCAUGGAGCACAGAGAAGUGGGUUGCAUAUUUAAAGGACUUCUAGUAUGCAUUUUUCUGUAUCUUUGUGAUGAGUCACCCGGAUUCCUCUUCCAGGAAAGACGACCUGUCACCCCAGCUGCUGGGAGUGCCUUCCGCGGUCAGCCCCUUCAGGGAUCGCUCAGCUGCAAAGAGCCACCUCGCCCAAAGUCAUGACCGCUCCUGGGGCAACCUCCUGGGUGACACAUCAGCGUGGGGGUAUAAAGAUCAGCCAGCUCCACCCAAGUGAGGACAGCGCUCAUGGGGUCAUUCCAGCUCAGGGAGUGUCAAAGUCUUCCUUCUGCCUCUGACCUGCCCUUCCCUUCCUUCCCUUCCACAGGUAUUGAUCCAAAGGCCAGUCCUUAAUCAAUACCCCAUUGCCACUAACCCCAUUCCAGACUGUUUCUGAAAGAACCCAAUGUGCAACGAUGUCUGCCACAGAGACAAAUUCUUUAGAAUCUCAUCCAGUUUGAUAGAGUAGGAAGCUGCCUUGCUUAAAUUUGCCUCUGUUUGAUAACUGGGAGGGGGGUGUUGAAUUUUAUUUUAUUAUUUUUUUAAACAGAUAUUGACUGAA